rnacentral:lncRNA from 1 species
GUUCUGGGUAUAUGGCUCGUCAUUCAUUUUUGCACAGCACACACUAUAGUCCUGUGAGUGAAUCUUGACCGCAUGGGUGAGACUUGGGAUGGUGUUCUUCUGUGAUUGGGGUUAUGUGUCCAUUUGACUUGAUCUGGGACUAGUGUCACCUAAUCAUAUUGUCUUUCCCCACUUUUCUUUUGUUGAACUUAUGACUGUCUUCGGGGCCUAUUUGACUCGAACAAUUAAGCCUG